UAGCUCAAAAGUCUUUGGAUCGAAUGGCUCGAAAGCACGUUUGUACUCAACUUGGUGCUGCUGUAGCUGUGUAUACAUCCACCUUUCAUUUCAUUUAAAAAAAAAAAGAAAAAGAAGAAAAGAACAGAGUAGAGAGAGCGAAGCACUGUCUAGUCGUAACCUAGCUUGUGUCGCCACUGUUGCUGUUUCAUCGAAGUGGAAAAGAAGGAAGUUUGUGUGUCGUAGAGCAAUCAGAGUUGUGUUUGAGUUGUGGAUAAGGCACGGGUUAGCACAAUGCAAAUGGCGGACAAUAUUGGAAGCACCUCUCACACUCAAGCAGGAAUAGUCAACAAUAUAAGCAGGAAAAGUUCAACAGUAGCAUCAGAAUUUGUUGACUUCAAUAUAGAUGCAGAUUCAAAUGCCCAAUUAUUUUUUUAGUUUUGCACUAGUAAUUGUAUGACAUUCGUAUGUAACAAUGUAGGUAUUAUGGCUAGAAUAUGUUUUGCACUAGUAAUUGUUGGCCAUUGUAUGCCUGAUUGUGUUUUUGGUUAAUCAUGGAAGAUUUAUAAAUUGUGGUUUGGUAAAGAAAAUUUGUGGUUGAACUUUUGUGUGGCGAAUGUUAAUCCUUUGGUAAUUGAACUUUUGUAAAUUGUUUUAUUAUUUUGGAUUAGUAAUUUUCUAUUACAAUGUUUUUUUUCA